UUAUGCUGAGCAAAAUAAGCCAGGCAGAAAAAGACAAGUACCACGUGAUCUCAUUUAUAUCUGGGAUAUAAUGAGUCAAGGCUUAGAUACAGAAAAUCAAGAGCCUCCCAGUAGGCACUGAAAAGAACACUACCCAACAAAGAGAGAAACUAACUUAAAAGAAGACAGAGGUGCUCAAAAAAGCUGCGCUGUUUGACUUCGGUUAAUGUCAAGGGGAAAGAGCUAGACAUUCUUCAUCAUCACCCAAGGAAAUCAUUGCGCAAGACUUAUAAUUAUUGUCUUUGUCAUUAGGGAAAGGUUAAAUUAUGUGUGUAUUAGGAUAUUCUGCUUAAGGAAUUUGGAAACAGUUCAUUUAGCUAAAGUCAUCAAAAUGGUUAAAAUGAGCAAGAGUGAACCACUUCCUGAUGUUUCCCGAGUACAAAAGUCUAACUUCCAUUCAUUCUCUUCCCCUCCCUCCUCUUUCCUACACACACACACACACACACACAUUUGAUUUUAUUUAAAAUACUUAUUUGCUGUUUGACUUGUUUUAGACUAACUUUCCCACCAUGGUGGGCCUCUAUUUUAAGGAAAUACAGACAUAAUAAGACAUUGGCUCCUUGAAAGUAAUCUAAAAUAUUUUCAUUUAUUUAUUAAAAGAUGCUUUGGUGUAUAUUCAUUAUUCAUUUAAGUCCAGUCACCUCUCAAUUAUCUCUGGUAAUAGAGAGUAAGGACACAAUGAACUGAGGAAAUCUAUUCUUAGUCCCCAAACACAACUCUCAAUCUCCUCUCUGUGAGUUCUACACGACAGCAGUGUUUCCUUCCCCCAUCGUUGUAGACUCGUUUCAAUCAUGGAAUGACCUUUAAAAAACAACCCAAGAGGGGAAAGAAGCAAAGCACAGGAUGAUAUUAAAUCCUCUCCUAAAAUUAAGAUAACAAACGAAAUCUUUAAUAAUAUCCAAGAAAACAAACUGGGGUGAUUUUUCAAAUACUGUCUCUGGAACCGUGGGUCACUUCUAGAUAAAAGAGUUGAUUGCCCUUUAUUAAACUGCACCAACUAUUUUGCAAACCGUUUAAUCAUUUUAAAAGCCAGCUCCUUAUAAGAGAAGCAUAAAUGUGGCUUAACCUUCAAAAUAGCAGUUAGCUCUUAAAACGCGAAUGAUAUCAUUAUACAUUUUAUAAUCUGCAGAUGAGGUCAAGGAAGUCUUCAUUUAAUAACACUGUUAAAUACAGAAUUAACAAAGUCUUACAAACAUGUCACCCAGACUGUCAGCAUUAGAACAAGUUUCCUUAACUAGCAAUAAUAUUGACUUUUUUUUUUUUUUUUACUAAGUGUGAACAGCAUUUAUCCAAGGAGGAAUCAAUAUUGAGCUGAAACUCCAAGGCCUUAAUAGCUAAUCCUAAAGAACAUCACUCAGCAGAGAUUUUGGGAUGGUGAUUAGCAUAAAUGCAAAGCUGCAAAGAUCAGAUCCUAGUCAGAUGAGAAUUGUGUACAGAAAUCCAUGUUCCUCAAAAGUAGAUGAGGGAAGAGGAGAGGAGCAACCUGUAAUGUGGCUCUGAGAACAGCUCCUAAAGACAGGACAAGGCAGCUCAUCUACGGAUGAGACUCAAGCUCUGUAACCUAAGCUGUGGAAAGAGAGACCAUCUGGAAAGAUCGCUGCGGUUUCACAGAGCCAGUGCGCCCGCCCCCCUCCCCUUUAUGGAUGGAUGGCGAACAUGUUGAGAUGACAGAGUUGGGCAAAUUGUCUUAGGAGAGAAAUCCUCCGGCAGUUCCAGGGUGCUGGUGUUCGGGACAUUUCUGUGCAUUUUUGUCAGAUGGGUAAGGAGGCCCAUAGGCUUUUUGUGAACUUCUGAGCUUCCAGAAGGCUUUUAUCUGCAGCUCAGUUUUAACUGAGGAAUGUAUGGGAUUUGCCACCUUGCAAAAUGGCGUGGCCAAGAGAGGAAUCUCUUCACCAUUUUCCUUGUGAGAAAUUAAGUGCGUCCUGCAAGUCAUUAACGAGACUAUAUAUUUGUGCUUUAUCCUGAUAUCGCUUCAUUGGAGUUGUCACAACCUUCAAUGGCAUUAAUUGAAUUUCAGGUGAAAAAACAAGGUUUAAUAAGGAGAAAUACAGCAAUUUUGCAGCUUUCAUGAUCCUAAAAGAGGUAUACUAUUUCAGCCCAUUAAUGGGAGUAAAAUAAACCAUCGUGAGAAAUAAAUCUACGAGUGAAUGUUACUGACUUUGACAGCCAAAUGGACACUGUCUCUAGAAAUUGAAUCUGAAAGCCAAACAGGUUUGUUAGUGUGAUUAUUAAAACAAUUGCCACCUUCUGGUGCAAAGUGAUGUCAACAGUGGACAAUCAAGCAAUGCCCUUUGCUUUGGUCCAGUCAAGCGCGCAGAGCCACCGUGAAAUAGGAUUGGACGGGACCUUUCAUUCCCUAUGAGAAUUAAAUCUCUAAGUGCAGCGGAGAGGAGGUGGCUUAUCCCCCUGCCCCCAGCAAGCAGCUAGACAGGAGUCUGCGGGAGGCCGUAUUUUUUCUUACCCAUUCCUUAGUGUGUGCACUUAUAUGUUACCAAGUAUUAUCGCAAUUCAUUUAGUCUUUACAUAUAGUUCCAUCAGAAAAGAAAAAAAAAAAAAAAAGGCCAGAGUUUUCCCAAAGGCUUUAUGACUUACGAAAUUACAAUUCUACAUCUAAGUUGUUUAUGAAGAAUUGAAUGAAAGGUCACAUUUCUUUGGCUGCACACAAGCUCCCAGCUGCUGUGGCAUCUUGGUGAGGGAGCAGAGCUCCACUCUGGGUUUACUGCAAGUUUCCCCAGAAAGAGCCACAUGCAUGUAAUUUGUGGCAAACCUCAGUUAUGAAGAUUCUCCUCUUCCCAGCAAAGUCAAGUUCGUAGCUGCACAAGAAAGAAACGCCACAUGUAUUCAAUGAUCAAAUGCCCUACACUGUGAUUAAACGUAUUUUGCAAAUAACAAUUCUACAGCAUAGUCCCUUGGAUUUAAGACCCUACUAACCUUAAAUGAAUUCAAAGUAGAAAAACAGAUAUGAGUUGUGUAAAUGCCUGUCUUUUGCAUCUCACAAAAUUAUCCUGUGUCAAAUCUAUUAUUAAUGCUUUUAGUUUUUAAAAUUUCACACAUUUACCACGUCUCGAGCUUCGACAGUUGAUAAAGCAAAUACAAGACUAAAAAUAUAAUCAAAGACUAGGUGAUCAAUAACACAUUUCUUCCCCAUCAGAUUAUUUCUUCCAUGUACAAAAUUCCUGUUUGACUUUUCAAUUAUUCAAAAUGUCAGAAUGAUAGAUAUAAGAGAGUAACCAACUAACUAGGGAAAUCUCUGCCUAAUAAUAUGCAAUAUAAAGAUUCAGAAUGAUGCUGCUUGAUGGAUUAAACUUUCCCCUGUUCUGCCUCAUUAGGGCUCUCCCAAUGAGAUCCAAUCCAAACCUAUUACUUAAUAUAUAUCUAACAGUGAAAUUGCAUAAGUGUGCACUAGUACAAUAGAAGCUAAAUGAGCAGUUUCAGAUAAUUUAAUUAAGUUGUAGGUCUUCUAAUAUAAUUGCAUAAGUAUGUGAACUUUUAACUUGUGUUAACCCAAUUUCCUUAUGCUUUCAUUUACCAUUUGUUGGGGACAUUAUAGUGAUUAGCCAAAGUCCUUCCAGCUACUAAUGUUCUCCAUAAAUUUUGAUUUAAAUUGACUGUCACUUUCUCACUAUAAUAAAGUAGAUAUUUGACAUCUCAAAAAAGAGAACUAGUCUAGUAUAUUAUGUUGUCAAGAAAUGGAACUUUUUUUCUCUAUCACACAAGAUCCACAUAAAAUUUACCUUAAUAAAGGCCAUUAAGAUCAGUCAGAAUGAAGUGAAUACUACAUAUUCAUAGACAUGUUCAUACUUUAGAAGUUUUUGAAAAAAUAGGCUCCUAUGUACCCUUGGUAAUUGGAAACACACAUGAUAUCCUGUUCCCAUAUAAUUGUGUACUGGGUGGCUCUCAGUAUCUACCCGUUGAGUGCAUUCAGGAACCCAGGGUAGUAAGAUAGAAAACUAACUCCUAUUGUACGUCAGUUGAGGUCAAAGACAAGAGUUGGCCAAAUGGGCUAAGCCCAGAUGUAUCUCCCACACUACCUUAGCUCAGGUAACUAAAGUAACAGAUUAUGCCACUGUACCCUGAAACUUUUCAAGGAAUAUAUUUAUUUUGAACCCAGCUUUUUAAAAAGUAAAAUUAUGUUCUCACAAAUGUAUAUUUACCCCCAACUGUCUUUAAUUCUAACAAAAUGACUCAGGCAAUAAGGUUCUGUUAUCGCCAAUUACUGCCCUUGAAGUUAUCUAGACAUUCCAAAAAUAGAGGCCUCAGUUCAGCGUCUGGAGUGACCUAAAAAAUUCAGGAAUGUUGUCCAGGUUCAGUGUUGCACUUUCUGUGCUGAAUGGGUCAAGAGCCUGUGGGGCAGCGAGAGCUCCUUAAAAAUCAUCAGGAAGGCUGUCAGAUAAUUGGAUGCAAGGGACAAGGAAUGUCAGCCCCUCUGGCCCACAGUUUCCCAUAAAUGACUGCUUUCACAGUGUGUUUGGCCAGAGUCUUCAGGAGAGAUGGCCUUUUAAAAGGAUUUUUAUACACAGAUGUAACCCUCCACUGUAGAACCUUCCUGGCACCCAUUCAAGAUGAAAAUUACCUUAAGUAAUAGUAAGAUUAACUGAAGUUUAUUGGGCAUUUACUAUAUGCUAAGCGAUUUAUCAGCAUGCUUUUCACUUAUUCAUACAAUGACUCUUGAGUUAGCAACUAUUAGGACCCCUGUUUUAUAAAUGGGAUACCUGAGGUGCAGUGAAAUUGAUUAAAUUAGUGAGGCAGCCCAAUUUUGGAGCCCAUGUUCUUUUUUUUUUUCUUUUUUAAUAUAUCUUGAUUGAUUUCACAGAGAGGAAGGGAG